UGAUUGUUGUAAGUUACAAAAUAUGCAAAAAGCUAAGUUUGGGGUGGUAACCUUUAAAGAAAGGACGAGUGCAUAAGAAGAGAUCUAAAAGUAAUGCAAAAAGAAGAGACGUGUGUAUGUCCUAAUAAAAAAAAGAGAAAGAAAAGAAAAAAAAAAGAAAUGCACUUGCCGAGACUUAAGACUCUAACACCUGUAAAAUGCUCACAGAGAAUUGAGUUAAAAAGAGUCAAAAGUGAAUAAACCCCCAUAGUUAUGGGUUAAGCGCGAAAAAAAAGAGAAAAUCAAACAACAUGAAUGCCG
rnacentral:lncRNA from 1 species